UACGUAGGUGGCAAGCGUUGUCCGGAUUUACUGGGCGUAAAGAGCGCGCAGGCGGUCGUUCAAGUCGCGUGUGAAAGCCCCCGGCUCAACUGGGGAGGGUCACGCGAUACUGAUCGACUGGAAGGCAGGAGAGGGUAGUGGAAUUCCCGGUGUAGCGGUGAAAUGCGCAGAUAUCAGGAGGAACACCGGUGGCGAAGGUGGGUCUCUGGGCCGUAACUGACGCUGAGGAGCGAAAGCAUGGGGAGCGAACAGG
rnacentral:rRNA from 1 species